GUUUACACGUGGACUUUUCCAUUUCAAACAGCACCACUUUCUACAAAGGUUUUAGUGUCUUUUUCUCUUCUUUUAGUUCAGCCAUUUUUUAACCUAAAUUAACAACCCCCAAAAAUCAAUUUGCUUCGGUUUUCUGCAUCUGUCGAAUCCACCAUUUAAUUUGCUGGUCAAUGGCGCACCAGCAGUAAUAGAUGUUUCCUUUGGAUCCCCUUUCUACUUCGAUCUCAACGAAGUGAACGGAGAUCGGUGGCCGAUUCGCAAGGUUCCGUUGACGUGGAGGAACGGAGGUGCACGUGCGAUGUAGCGAGGCCACUCGUGAAGGCUGCGGCACGAGGCUACUAACUUAGGGUUUCAUUUUCUGAAACUGAAGCUUGGAUUAUUUGGGCCAGUGAGCUGUGUAUUUUGUUGGGUUUAGGUUUUUUAAUUUGAGCCCGUUAUUUUUGGUUGUUGGGCUAUGUAAGAAAUGGACAUUAGACUUUAUUAUUAUUAUUAUUAUUUUUUAUAUUUUGAUUUGUUUUUUAGUUUGUGUAAGCCCGGGCACAAAUUGAGUCUUACAGCUACAUACCUUGAUUAAGCUUAACAAUGGCUGAACCAUUGAAAA